rnacentral:lncRNA from 1 species
CAAAUUUUGAGAUGUUACACAUGGUAGAGUCAAUUCAAAGCGUUGUAUGGAUGGUAUGCAAAACCAAGGCACGAGAUUAAAUCAUUUCAAAUGGAUCAUGUGGUUCAGAUGAGCGCCAGCACACCGCGGGAGCCAAAGCUCCGAUCUCCUUCUCCGGUGAGUUUCACCGGACUGGUUCACUCACAACCAUUACCAAAAUUAAAAAGAAGGACAUGAAUUUAAAGUAAAAAUGCUC